GGAAGGCACAAGGAAGAAAAGUGCACUUACUAGAACUUCAGCUCCCAAGCUGGUGAAGCAAGAUCCCCGUACGGGCCACCAGAAGAAAUGAUGUGGGCUCAGCGAGCUGAGUCGUUGAAAGAAAGAUUCUUGGACUCUCAAGGUCUUGCUGAAUUGAGAAUCGCCGCCUAAACAAUAAGUCUGAGGAAGCAGACAUCUGUUACCUAGACAAUACUAGACCGCUCAAGAGGACCACUUACCCUGGGAGAAGCCAAUUGCCAUCUUAGGAGGCCACUCAAGCAGCACUAUAGAGAAACUCACGUGGUGAGGAACAGAGGCCUCCAGCUAACAGCCAUACUCU
rnacentral:lncRNA from 1 species